rnacentral:rRNA from 1 species
UUUAAGCAUAUUAAUAAGCGGAGGAAAAGAAACUAACAAGGAUUCCCUUGGUAGCUGCGAGCGACCAGGGAAAAGCUCAGCAUAAAAUCUCAUAGCCUAGCCGGUUAUCGAGAAAUGUUAUGUUUAGGAGGUUUCGUUUAUCCUGUAAUAUACACUUGGUCCAAGUCCACCUUGAAUGGGGCAUCAUCCAUAGAGGGUGCUAGGCCCGUAGUUUGACCAGUGUUGACAAAUAUUAUAGGUGAAACUUUCCUUAGAGUCGGGUUGCUUGCAAAUGCAGCUCUAAGUUGGUGGUAAACUCCAUUUAAAGCUAAAUAUGACCACGAGACCGAUAGCGAACAAGUAC